AUUAGUUUAAUACCCCUAUAGUUGUUGCAGCACUGGAUGUCCCCCUUGUUCUUGUACAAGGGCACCACUGUACUCCACCGCCACUCAUCCGGCAUCCUUAGGUUAGUAACAAAUGGGAUUUUAAUAAUAUAUAAAAAGCUCAUUAGAUCAUGGAUCUAACAAGAAUUGCUUGACUGAGGUAGUGGCGAUAAGGCUUUUCUUUUCUUUCUUUCCAGUAUACCACUAUGCAACCAAAGCAAAUUAACAUAAAUUUUUUAUAAGGAUAAUUGAACAUAAAUCAAACUAGUGGGAUAAGGCUUUUCUUUUCUUUCUUUUCCAGUAUACCACUAUGCAACCAAAGCAAAUUAACAUAAUUUUUUUAUAAGGAUAAUUGAACAUAAAUCAAACCUAAUAUGAGGAGACAAGAUCGAUCGUUGAAAU
rnacentral:lncRNA from 1 species